CUACGGGCCGCUGCAGUGGGGAAUAUUGGACAAUGGGGGAAACCCUGAUCCAGCAAUGCCGCGUGUGUGAAGAAGGCCUGCGGGCUGUAAAGCACUUUCGGUUGGGAGGACUGCUUCUAGCACUAAUAUUGUUGGAAGUUGACGUUACCUUCAGAAGAAGCACCGGCUAACUCCGUGCCAGCAGCCGCGGUAAUACGGAGGUUGCAAGCGUUAAUCGGAAUUACUGGGCGUAAAGCGCGCGUAGGCGGCUAGAUCAGUCGGGUGUGAAAGCCCCGGGCUUAACCUGGGAACUGCAUCCGAUACUGUCUAGCUUGAGUACAGGAGAGGAGAGUGGAAUUCCACAUGUAGCGGUGAAAUGCGUAGAUAUGUGGAGGAACACCAAUGGCGAAGGCAGCUCUCUGGCCUGAUACUGACGCUGAGGUGCGAAAGCGUGGGGAGCAAACAGGAUUAGAUACCCGGGUAGUC
rnacentral:rRNA from 1 species